AUACCGGCUGCUCGAGUGGUGGCCACUAUUACUGGGUUUAAAGCGUCCGUAGCUUGACUGUUAGGUCUCUUGGGAAAUCUUUUGGCUUAACCAAAAGGCGUCUAAGAGAUACCGGCAUUCUUGGAACUGGGAGAGGUAAGCCGUACUUCGGGGGUAGGAGUGAAAUCUUGUAAUCCUCGAGGGACGACCUAUGGCGAAGGCAGCUAACCAGAACAGCUUCGGCAGUGAGGGACGAAAGCUGGGGGAGCAAACGGGAUUAGAUACCCCGGUAGUCCCAGCCGUAAACAAUGUGCGUUAGGUGUGUCGGUUACCACGCGUAACUGAUGCGCCGAAGAGAAAUCGUGAAACGCACCACCUGGGAAGUACGGUCGCAAGGCUGAAACUUAAAUGAAUUGGCGGGG
rnacentral:rRNA from 1 species